rnacentral:lncRNA from 1 species
GCAACUAAAUAGGGACUUAAAAUUUUCACAAAUUUUUUCAUUUUCUUUAAAUUUUGUUUCUUUAUUCUGUUAUUCUUUUCAUCCUUAAUCUUUUUUUCUUUCUUUUUUUUUUCAUUCAUUUUUUUUUCUAUUCUCUUUCUCGUCCUCUUUCCUCAUUUUCUUCCUUACCCAAAUCGUUGUGGUUUGCUCUGAUCACUCAACCUUUCCCAAAUCCUAACCUAAACCAAAUUCACAAUACCCUAAACUCACAUAUCUAACAACCCACAAACAUGUAUACAACCAUGAACCCAAAACCUCUUUGCAACCAAUUUUGGGCCCAUCCUAUGAAACCGGUGAAAAACUAUAAAACAAAAUAAGAAAAAACAAAGUAAAAAAGAGAGGGGGUGAUUUAUGUUCAAAAAAUCCGGUUAAGAAAACAGUUUACUGUAAUAGUAAAAGUUUAAAAAUUUUCUAAACUCGGUUAGUUUGUGAUAUUUAUAAUAAUAUUUUACCAGAAAUUACUUGUGUUUUAUGCAAG